rnacentral:rRNA from 1 species
GAUGAACGCUGGCGGCGUGCCUAAUACAUGCAAGUCGAACGAAACUUCUUUAUCACCGAGUGCUUGCACUCACCGAUAAAGAGUUGAGUGGCGAACGGGUGAGUAACACGUGGGCAACCUGCCCACAAGAGGGGGAUAACACUUGGAAACAGGUGCUAAUACCGCAUAACCAUAGUUACUGCAUGGUAACUAUGUAAAAGGUGGCUAUACUACCGCUUUUGGAUGGGCCCGCGGCGCAUUAGCUAGUUGGUAGGGUAAAGGCUUACCAAGGCAAUGAUGCGUAGCCGAAUUGAGAGGUGGGUCGGCCACAUUGGGACUGAGACACGGCCCAAACUCCUACGGGAGGCAGCAGUAGGGAAUCUUCCACAAUGGGCGAAAGCCUGAUGGAGCAACGCCGCGUGGGUGAAGAAGGUCUUCGGAUCGUAAAACCCUGUUGUUAGAGAAGAAAGUGCGUGAGAGUAACUGUUCACGUUUCGACGGUAUCUAACCAGAAAGCCACGGCUAACUACGUG